GAGUGAUGAUAGGCAUUUCCCUCUGAGAGGUGAUGAUAGGCAUUCCCCUCUGAGAGGUGAUGAUAGGCAUUUCCCUUUGAGGAGUGGUAAUAGACAUUUCCCUUUGAUGAGUGAUGAUAGGCAUUUCCCUCUGACUUUGAGAGGUGAUGGUAGGCAUUUCCCUUUGAUGAGUGAUGAUAGGCAUUUCCUCUGAGAGCUGAUGAUAGGCAUUUCCCUCUGAGAGGUGAUGAUAGGCAUUUCCCACUGAGAGGUGAUCAUAGGCAUUUUCCUUUGAUGAGUGAUGAUAGGCAUUUCCCCCUGAGAGGUGAUGAGAGGCAUUUCCCUCUGAGAGGUGAUGGGAGGCAUUUCCCUCUGAGAGGUAAUGGUAGGCAUUUUCCUUUGAGGAUUGAUGAUAGGCAUUUCCCUCUGAGAUGUGAUGAUAGGCAUUUCCCUUUGAUGAGUGAUGAUAGGCAUUUCCCUCUGAGAGGUGAUGAGAGGCAUUUCCCUCUGACUUUGAGAGGUGAUGGUAGGCAUUUCCUUUUGAUGAGUGAUGAUAGGCAUUUCCCUCUGAGAAGUGAUGAUAGGCAUUUCCCUUUGACUUUGAGGAGUGAUGAUAGGCAUUUCCCUCUGAGGAGUGAGGAGUGAUGAUAGGCAUUUCCCUCUGAGGAGUGAGGAGGGGCAUUUCCCUUAGAGAGGUGCUGGGUGUAUCUCCUUGACUUGUCGUGGAGGCUUUGCUGGAGGGGUUUCUGCUACCUUUUUAGACAGCUGUAACAGCUUAUGGCCUCGUGGAAAGUGGUUCAUGACUAAAAUAUAAAUAAUGACAUAAGUUAUUACAUAUAAUAAAGAAAUGUUACUUCUAAAGUGAAAGUAAAUCUGAAUGAUU